rnacentral:rRNA from 1 species
GAUGAACGCUGGCGGCGUGCCUAAUACAUGCAAGUCGAGCGAACGGACGAGAAGCUUGCUUCUCUGAAGUUAGCGGCGGACGGGUGAGUAACACGUGGAUAACCUACCUAUAAGACUGGGAUAACUUCGGGAAACCGUAGCUAAUACCGGAUAAUAUUUUGAACCGCAUGGUUCAAAAGUGAAAGACGGUCUUGCUGUCACUUAUAGAUGGAUCCGCGCUGCAUUAGCUAGUUGGUAAGGUAACGGCUUACCAAGGCAACGAUGCAUAGCCGACCUGAGAGGGUGAUCGGCCACACUGGAACUGAGACACGGUCCAGACUCCUACGGGAGGCAGCAGUAGGGAAUCUUCCGCAAUGGGCGAAAGCCUGACGGAGCAACGCCGCGUGAGUGAUGAAGGUCUUCGGAUCGUAAAACUCUGUUAUUAGGGAAGAACAUAUGUGUAAGUAACUGUGCACAUCUUGACGGUACCUAAUCAGAAAGCCACGGCUAACUACGUG